UACAGAGGUCCCAAGCGUUGUUCGGAUUCACUGGGCGUAAAGGGUGCGUAGGUGGUGAGGUAAGUCGGAUGUGAAAUCUCCGAGCUCAACUCGGAAAUGGCAUUGGAAACUACCUUGCUCGAGGGUUGGAGGGGGGACUGGAAUGCUUGGUGUAGCAGUGAAAUGCGUAGAUAUCAAGCGGAACACCAGUGGCGAAGGCGAGUCCCUGGACAACUCCUGACACUGAGGCACGAAAGCGUAGGGAGCAAACAG
rnacentral:rRNA from 1 species